rnacentral:rRNA from 1 species
UGGGGAAUAUUGGACAAUGGGCGAAAGCCUGAUCCAGCCAUGCCGCGUGUGUGAAGAAGGUCUUCGGAUUGUAAAGCACUUUAAGCGAGGAGGAGGGUACUGGUAUUAAUACUACCAGGUACUGGACGUUACUCGCAGAAUAAGCACCGGCUAACUCUGUGCCAGCAGCCGCGGUAAUACAGAGGGUGCGAGCGUUAAUCGGAUUUACUGGGCGUAAAGCGUGCGUAGGCGGCUAAUUGAGUCGGAUGUGAAAUCCCCGAGCUUAACUUGGGAAUUGCAUUCGAUACUGGUUAGCUAGAGUGUGGGAGAGGAUGGUAGAAUUCCAGGUGUAGCGGUGAAAUGCGUAGAGAUCUGGAGGAAUACCGAUGGCGAAGGCAGCCAUCUGGCCUAACACUGACGCUGAGGUGCGAAAGCAUGGGGAGCAAACAGG